AUAGUAUUUGUGGAUGGUCCUUUAAGACUCGCCACAUUUACCAUUAAAAAAUGUAAAGAUUAUAUGAAUGAUUAGAUUGAUUAGAUUAACUCUGGUUAGUUGUUUUAUGUAUAUUUUUAGAAAUAUAUAUUUUUUCUAUAGUAUAUUUUUUUGUUUGUUUUUUUUUUUGAAGUAGUUUUCUAACAUUUUUUUACUAUUUUGAUUUUGUUAGUAACAUGACUAAACAAGAAUAAAAUUGCCAAUGGCAAAAGUUUAUUCAGACUUUUUUUCAAUUAACGACAGUAAGACCUGAUAAAUUUAGAAGUCAACAGAUUUCAGAAAAGUCUUUGUCCUAUGAUAUGAUGAUCUAAUGAUUGUGAUGAUGAUAUGGUAUACAUAAUAAUGAUGAGCAUAUGUAAUUUAGAUGGUGAUCAUCAUAUCAUGAUGUUGAUUCAUUUUCAGUAUUUUAUAGAAAUGUAUAUUAUCGCAAAAUUGUAUAUUUAAGUUCAGAAACUAACACUCCACAGUUACUGAAAAAAAAAAAAGUUGUAAAUAAUAAAAAAGACACUUGCUCCAGCCCGUGCUAUUCCUCCUUUGACAUUUUUAUGUAUUGAAAAUUUGACUUUUUCAGAUCAUUUAAAAAUAAAUAACUUUUUUAAACAAGGCUCUUUUUCUGAAGUUUUAGAAGAGGAUGUAUUUUUAAACUUUUUUCGUUUGAAUAUUCUUUUUUCUUUUUGUAACUAAAUUCCAAAAUGUUCUGAAACAAUCUUUUAAUUAGUUUAUGUAAAUAGGAUACAAAUAUGCAUGAAAAUUUAUUAAGUUAAAUUGAUAGACAUACUUUUUUCGAAAGCAAUUAGUUAGACAACUUAUGGGAUGGAGACCCGUCUACUUCUAUGGUAUUGUAUUUUAUUGACUAGAAAGUUUUUUUUUAAUGAAGAAUUUAUUUAAAAAAGUGCUUUUUAAGGUGACAAUUUCUUAAUUUUUUUAUAGCUCUUUUGUUCUAAAAAAUGUGCUUUGAAGAAAAAUGAAAAUAUUUUAUUUUUGCCUAUUGAGAUGAUAUCAACUUAGUUUUGUGCUGAUCAGUUGCUGGAUGAAUUAAAGCUCUCAUAGCUCCAUAAAUCAGUAUUGCAUCAUCAGUUGCAUCUAAUGCUAAAAUUGAAGCACAUAAUGCUGUGAAAAUAAAAGCUUUAACCUCAGGAGCAUCAGGAGAAGAAUUUAAACAUUAACUAAAAAAAUAUUUUUUGCUUUUUGGGGAUCGAAAUGACGGACGAAAAACUCGAGAGGCACGUUCUUUGUAUAAAAAGUUAUUUACAUAAAUAACAAUUUUAACUUUUAAUAACAUUUUUUAAUUUU